rnacentral:lncRNA from 1 species
UUUCUUCUUCUUUCUCUUGCAGACUGAUUAAAAACUCUUUGAGUUUGAAGGUUUUUGUGUCAAAACAGCUCAGCUGCCAGCUGGGUGCCAAGCAGUGAAUAUUCAUGGUAUUUAAAUGUGACGGUGCGGUGGGGGCUAAAGGACGGGCUAGUUAGCUCUUUUUAGAUGGAGAUUAGCUGCCUCUUUGCUCCUAAUCACCACUGUUGUUGAAAUAUUACAGCUUCUGUUACAACUAUUAAUGUCCUAAAUGAAGUACAGGCUCCUCUGAAUAACAUCAAACACGAAAUGGUCACUUCCAAUUUCAGCCUGUUUCUCUCCUCUUUGCUAAUGUGUGUUUUCAUUUUUAACUGGAGUCCCGCCUUGGUACCAGACGUUCAGCUCCGAGCCCUGCAGGAGGAGAGGAGCUAGCCUGGCUCGAGGGAGCUGCCGAGAGCUGAAGCAGCAUUCGCACUUCGGGUCACUGGUUCAAGAGAGGUCAGUUGCUGGCCAGAGGUUGUUAUUUACCUCAUGAGGAUGGCGGCUGCUUGGGGUCAGGAGUGGGUACCCCUCUGCAAGUCGAUCCUUCAUGGACAGGCUUUCAGAAUCUGCUACUCUAGGUCAAGCCCCUGUUAACAGCACAGGAUGGAGGCAAGCAAGGGUCCAGGCAAGUGUGAGCUGAGGCCCACCACUGGAGUGAUGUGCAGGACAGCACAGUGCCCCAUUGCUCUCUGGGCUGGUAUUCACCAGGGGCAAAACGAAAACCACAGCUCUGGGUUCCACCAGGAACAUUAUAAAUGGUGAGGUAAGCUGACAGGCUCCUGUUUGAGCUUUGCUCAGAUAAAACUCCCAGUGAAGUGAGAGGCUGGAUAAAAUCCGUGACAGGGUGGUGUGAGUUGGUCCUUUCACGGCAAUAUCUGGAGGGAAGCCUGACGGAAAAUACUUUGCAGCAAAAACUGCCCAGAUGUCCUAUGUGUGUUUGGCCAUUUGGAACCUCUCUGCAUUCAUCCACGAGAACUGCCCGCC